rnacentral:rRNA from 1 species
CACGUAGGGACCAAGCGUUGUCCGGAUUUACUGGGCGUAAAGGGCGCGUAGGCGGUCAGCACAAGUCAGUUGUGAAAUCUCCGGGCUUAACUCGGAAAGGUCAACUGAUACUGUGCGACUAGAGUGCAGAAGGGGCAACUGGAAUUCUCGGUGUAGCGGUGAAAUGCGUAGAUAUCGAGAGGAACACCUGCGGCGAAGGCGGGUUGCUGGGCUGUUCGUUGACGCUGAGGCGCGAAAGCUAGGGGAGCAAACGGG